rnacentral:rRNA from 1 species
UAUGGGGGAAGCGUAUUGGGUCAAAUUGAUUUGGGGGAGUGCUGCUGUUCAACGGGGUGAUUCCCGUGUACUCAGUGCAUUUUCUUACCCGUCGUGUGCUUUGGAUGGUCGAUUUUGGGCUGUCUGGGGCUGAGGGAUCCCCUUUUAUAGGGUGAAGACGAUGGGGCGCUGACACGAUACGACCCGUCUUGAAACACGGACCAAGGAGUUCAGCAUGUGUGCGAGUCAAAGGGUGAUUAAACCUGGGGGCGCAGUGAAAGCAACUUUUGUGUAAGGGAAUCCAACAUUAAGCAGUUUCAGGCGGCAUACGAUCGUUGAUUGUAGGACUGACCUAGAGCACAUGUGCUGAGACCCGAAAGAUGGUGAACUAUGCCGGAGUAGGGCGAAGCCAGAGGAAACUCUGGUGGAGGCUCGUAGCGGUGCUGACGUGCAAAUCGCUCGUCUGACUCGGGUAUAGGGGCGAAAGACUAAUCGAACCAUCUAGUAGCUGGUUUCCUCCGAAGUUUCUCUCAGGAUAGCAGGCCGACGAAUA